GAUGAACGCUAGCUACAGGCUUAACACAUGCAAGUCGAGGGGCAGCAUUUUAGUUUGCUUGCAAACUAAAGAUGGCGACCGGCGCACGGGUGAGUAACACGUAUCCAACCUGCCGAUAACUCGGGGAUAGCCUUUCGAAAGAAAGAUUAAUAUCCGAUGGUAUAUUAAAACCGCAUGGUUUUACUAUUAAAGAAUUUCGGUUAUCGAUGGGGAUGCGUUCCAUUAGUUUGUUGGCGGGGUAACGGCCCACCAAGACUACGAUGGAUAGGGGUUCUGAGAGGAAGGUCCCCCACAUUGGAACUGAGACACGGUCCAAACUCCUACGGGAGGCAGCAGUGAGGAAUAUUGGUCAAUGGACGAGAGUCUGAACCAGCCAAGUAGCGUGAAGGAUGACUGCCCUAUGGGUUGUAAACUUCUUUUAUACGGGAUAAAGUUAGCCACGUGUGGUUUUUGUAUGUACCGUAUGAAUAAGGAUCGGCUAACUCCGUG
rnacentral:rRNA from 1 species